GAUGAACGCUGGCGGCGUGCCUAAUACAUGCAAGUCGAGCGAACAGACGCGGCGCUUGCUCCUCUGACGUUAGCGGCGGACGGGUGAGUAACACGUGGAUAACCUACCUAUAAGACUGGGAUAACUUCGGGAAACCGGAGCUAAUACCGGAUAAUAUAUUGAACCGCAUGGUUCAAUAGUGAAAGACGGUUUUGCUGUCACUUAUAGAUGGAUCUGCGCCGCAUUAGCUAGUUGGUAAGGUAACGGCUUACCAAGGCAACGCUGCGUAGCCGACCUGAGAGGGUUAUCGGCCACACUGGAACUGAGACACGGUCCAGAGUCCUAAGGGAGGCAGCAGUAGGGAAUCUUACGCAAUGGGCGAAAGCGUGACGGAGCAACGCGGCGUGAGUGAUGAAGGUCUUCGGAUCGUAAAACUCUGUAAUUAGGGAAGAACAAAUGUGUAAGUAACUAUGCACGUCUUGACGGUACCUAAUCAGAAAGCCACGGCUAACUACGUG
rnacentral:rRNA from 1 species